rnacentral:rRNA from 1 species
GAUGAACGCUGGCGGCGUGCUUAACACAUGCAAGUCGAACGGAAAGGCUCCUACUUGCAGGGGUACUCGAGUGGCGAACGGGUGAGUAACACGUGGGUGAUCUGCCCUGUACUUCGGGAUAAGCUUGGGAAACUGGGUCUAAUACCGGAUAGGACAACUUUUUGGAUAUUGUUGUGGAAAGCUUUUGCGGUAUGGGAUGAGCUCGCGGCCUAUCAGCUUGUUGGUGGGGUAAUGGCCUACCAAGGCGUCGACGGGUAGCCGGCCUGAGAGGGUGUACGGCCACAUUGGGACUGAGAUACGGCCCAGACUCCUACGGGAGGCAGCAGUGGGGAAUAUUGCACAAUGGGCGCAAGCCUGAUGCAGCGACGCCGCGUGGGGGAUGAAGGCCUUCGGGUUGUAAACUCCUUUCGCUAGGGACGAAGCUUUUUUGUGACGGUACCUGGAGAAGAAGCACCGGCUAACUACGUG